rnacentral:lncRNA from 1 species
GCAAUGAGAGUGCAAUUAUCACUUGUUUAGUUUCUGUGCUUGCCGUGGCUUAUUUAGCAUGGAAUGUGAAAAAAUCAAGGAAAGCAAAUGCUAAACUGCCACCAGGACCUCGCGGCUUGCCUGUAGUCGGAUACCUCCCAUUUCUCGGGACUACUGACUUGCACAAGAAAUUCACGGAAUUUAUUUUACUAUUAUAUUUAUAUUCAAAAUAAUUUUAAUUAGCUUUUAAAAUGAAUGAUUUUAGGAAAUUAUAAAUAAAGGUAACUAAGAAUUCUCUUAAUGUAAUAUAUUAUUAAUUAGUUUAAAAAUACAAAUUUAUUAAUUAGAGAAAUUAUUAGUGAAUUUAAAUUAAUGAUCUUAAUGAUUUGUUUGUACGAUUGCCCCCAAUCAAAGGUAAUUUUCCUAAAAAUUAUUAGGAAAUUAGAGAAAUUUAAUUUUUUUAGUGGGUUCAAUUGCCCACACACCCCGACUGAAGCAUUUUUUACAAUAUGUACUCCGUUUGUCGGCAGGAAAAUAAAGGUCUUGACACAUGAUCACUUCACUCCUUUAUUUACUUUGCUAACGCAGAUUUUGAGGUAUUAAAACAAAUAAUAAUUGAAUAUGACUUUGUGGGUCGACGACGCCAGCAACGAGGAGACCGCCAAUUAUCACAUUUUAAGUUUGCUGUAAUUGCCGUUGUUUUAUAUUAGUAGAAUAUUAGUGAUAAGAUAAUUGUAGAGUUUUCAUUUUUUUAAUAUUAAAAUCAAGUCAAUUUAUUAUAAUAAAUUUAGUUGAAUUUAAUCGUAUUACCACAUAAAUUGAAUAAUAAUAGAAUUCUCGACAAUAUUUCAAUAUUUUAAUCUCAAGCAUUGGAGUGGCAUUUAUUUGUUAUACGGUCGAUUUUAGAAUUUAUAAAAUUAUUCGUUGCUGAAUUGCACCAUAUGCUGCAUAACCUGAAACUUAAUAAACGGAACGUAGCGUUGGCACCGUUACUCAACAUUCACUGUUACGACUUUGUGACAUUAGAAUUAAAAUCUUUUCCACAUUUAAUUUGUUUACUUCCAACUUAAUAUUUAACAAAAUGUAUGUUAGCAUUGUAUGCCAUAUCAUCUGUAAUUUUGUCAGGAUCGAUCAUUCUAAUUUUUAAGCAGAACUUUUUGUCAAUGGACAAACACCUCAUACAGCUUGUCAGAGGCAUUAGUAUGAUGUAAAAUUGUAAUGGUAUAUCUUGAAUUAUUUUAGAAUAGUGAAUAACUAUUUGGAGCAAUAAAAACAAAUAAGACAGAUGAGAAAAUGGCUAAAAUUAUAUAAGUGACCCAAAAUUUUUUGCUAUUUCCAAGAAAUCCCCAAUCUGAAUGGACCAGAGGGAGGCAAGUUAGAAAUACAUUUCCUUCAUAGACAAUAACAACGAUGAGUGGAUGACAUCAAACCACGUUGGUAUCAAUAUUGAAAUAAAGGUGCAAUUAUUCAGCCAAUGAGCCUUAGUACACAUCAAGAUAUAUAAAAGUCAAGAAAAUGAAAAUUUAUCCCAAUUAAAACUCUUUCUGGCUGCAUUUAGCUGUUUCUGUUUAGGGAUGGCAAUUUAAUCCGGACCCAGCCCGACCCGGAUGAAUCCAGAAAAUUCGGGGUGGAUUCAACCCGUACCGGAGUGAAUAAAAUCUGAUAUUCAAAUUCAAUAUUUUCAACCCGGACGUUUCCGAGUCCGGAUCCGGAUUUGGGUAAACCCGCAUAUCCGGAACCCGGAUCCGGAUAACUAUUUUAAUAUUAAUUUUUAAAUCAUUUUAAAAUAAAAAAAAAUUAGAAAAAAUCAGCCCUAAUGCCCUUCCACAGCCACGGCAGCCAAACCAAACCCAGACAUUUCCUCUCUCUCUCUUUAGCCCUUCUUUUCAACAAAUCAUCAUCGUUGCUCAUCAUCGUUUCGUCGUGUUCAUCUUCAUCUUCAUCAUCAGCUGCCGUUUGUCCAGCUAUGUCACUAGUUUUGGCCGCCGUUUCCGUUUGUGCACCUUCGCAAAUCGGGAUCUCGAUUUGGCCGCCAACACUUCUACCCCCUGGUGUUUUGCUUUGUCCUCGACAACUUCUUUGUUGAUAAAUUGACGGGCACUUAUGAAUGCAUUUGUCUCUGUUUCUUCAUUUACACCUUCCCAGUUGUUUGUUCAUUUGCUUUUUGGAAGGAAAAAAAAAAAAAAUCAGCCACCAUUUAUCCUUCCCCUUUUCUUGACCUAACCCCACAAAGCCCAAUUUGUCAUCAUCAUUCAUUGGCAAAUUUGUUAUCAUCAUGGUUGAGACAUCAUGAUUAUCUUUGAUAAUUGAAUUUGUGUAAUAUGUUACCUUGGAUUUUAUUUCUAAGUAUUUGAUUUUGAAUUAUUUUCCAUUAUUGGUGUUAAUAGAUAGAAGAUUAGAAAGGAAUUCUUCACUGAAUAAAGAGAUGGGAAAUUGCAUCUUUUAGCAAUCAUCCGGGUUAUAAACCCGGAAUCCGGAAACCAGGAUUUUUCCGGGUUUAACCCAGUCCGGACCCGAAUGAAAAAUAUCCGGGUUUACAUCCGGGUCUGGUAUUAAAAUUUAUCGUCCGGAUCCGGAACAGGGAAGACAAAACCCGGACCCGAACCCACAUUUUGCCAUCCCUAUUUCCAUUUGAAGUUAACAACAACGUUUCUUUCGUUUUGUGGGCGACUUGACUGAGCCAGCUGGAUUCUAGUGCUAGUAUGUGAAAAUAGAAGGCUAAUGAUUUCACGUUCACUAGCCCACCUCCCCUCCUCUCGUUUCCUCUGAAUCAAUUUUCACGUGUGGUACCGAUUGAAAAUAUCUCUGACAUUUCGUGGACAUCUCUAUUGAAAAUAUCUCAGACAUUUCACUCAGGCAAACUUAUUAAUAUAAAAAAUCUAUGAUUUUUUCGUCUUAUACUGUAGAAAAAUUUGUCUAUACAUUAAUCUAGAUGUUUGAGGUGGUUUAUACAUCUGUGGUAUAGAUUUAUAGGUUGAUUGAUACGUCUGUGGUAUAGAUUUUAUGUAUUUCAUUAUCAAAUGCUGGCCUUUGGGACCCUAUCUACAUCUAUUUAUAAAACUAACGGGUGCCAGUUAUGCCAUUACAAAUUAUCCCCUCUUCAUACAUUUCCUUAAAAUUCUUCUGAAACACCAAAACUAAAUAAUCGAAUAUGGCUUUGCGGGUCGAUGAUGCCAGCAACAAUGAGGCUGCAAUUAUCACUUGUUUAGUUUCUAUGCUUGCCGUGGUUUAUUUCGUAUGGAAUGUGAACAAAUCAAGGAAAGCAAAUGCUAAACUGCCACCAGGACCUCGCGGUUUGCCUGUAGUCGGAUACCUCCCAUUUCUCGGAACUACUGACUUGCACAAGAAAUUCACGGAAUUAUCCGGAGUUUAUGGUCCGAUCUUCAAGCUCUGGCUCGGAAAUAAAUUAAGUGUCGUGGUGAGCUCACCUUCCCUAGUUAAACAAGUGGUUCGUGAUCAAGAUACAACAUUCGCAGACCGUGACCCGCCGAUCUCAGGACUAGUGACCUCCUUUGGUGGCAAUGAUAUUACAUGGUCCAAUUACGGUCCCGAAUGGAGAAAGUUGCGCAAAUUUUUUGUGGGCAAGAUGAUGAGUAACGCAAGCCUUGAUGCUUGUUAUGCUUUAAGAAAACAUGAGGUUAAAAAUACUAUCAGGGAUUUGUAUAACAACGGCAACAAAAUUGGUAAGCCCAUUGACAUUGGUGAAUUGUCGAUUUCAACAUUGGUAUGUGCUAUGCAGAACAUGCUGUGGGGUGAAGCGCUUGAAUUAAAAGAGAAAGGGACAACUAAUCUUGGGGUUGAGCUAAAAUUUAAGUUUGCAGAACUCAUGGUGCUACUGGGAACACCGAAUAUUUCGGAUAUCUUUCCAAUGCUUUCUUGGCUCGACAUACAAGGUAUAGAGAGGAGAGCAAAGAAGAUUUCACUCUGGUUUGAAAAAAUUAUAAAUUCUACUGUUGAAAAGUAUAGAAGCAAGGACUUUAAUGUUGAAGGUAAAGAAAGAGCAGGGGAAAAUUUUGAAGGAUCAAGGAACAAGAACUUCUUGCAGUUACUAUUGGAGCUUCAAGAAAAUGAAGACGGUUCUUCCUCAAUUAGCAUGAACCAAUUUAAGGCCGUACUCGUGGUAUGUUAAGAAACUAGCCGCAAACAGUUAUACAAGCACAGCUGUAUAUUUUGCAUGAGUGAUAUUUUCAACCUUUUUUUUUUAUAAUUAGAAUUUUAUUGUAACCUUUUGGACAGGAUAUAAUUACGGCUGGAACCGACACCACAACUACGAUGGUGGAAUGGACAAUGGCAGAGUUGAUGCAGCAUCCACAAAUAAUGAAGAAAGUUCAGGAAGAAUUAGCUCAAGUUGUGGGCAUGGACAGUUGUGUUGAAGAAUUUCAUUUGCCUAAAUUGAAAUAUUUAGAUGCUGUGGUGAAAGAAUCGUCUCGUCUGCAUCCUGCAGUGCCUUUAUUACUACCACGCAGAGCAAGCGAGAGUGGCAGCAUUGGUGGCUAUAACAUUCCCAAAGAUACAACUAUUAUGUUGAAUGUUUGGGCAAUCCACAGGGACCCUAAACUUUGGGAUAAUCCCUUAGAAUUUCGACCCGAGAGGUUUCUAGAUGAUGGUAUCGCGAGUAAGUUCGAUUACUCAGGUAACAAUUUUCAGUACUUGCCAUUUGGUUCUGGUAGAAGGAUGUGUGCUGGGAUUCCUCUAGCUGAGAGGAUGCUGAUGUUUGUUUUGGCUUCGUUAUUGCACUCAUUUGAGUGGGAAUUGCCAGCUGGCACAAAGCUAAACUUAUCUGAAAAAUUUGGGAUUGUCAUUAAGAAAAAAGAGCCUUUAGUUGCUAUUCCAACACCAAGACUAUCCAAUUCAGAGCUCUACCAUUAAGACAGAAUGGUUGUGAUGAUUUUGUUAAUUUCCGAAGAUUUGUAUGUUAUGUCAAGUUCAAUCGUAAUAAAAUAUUUCAAAUAAGAGUCCUCCGUUGCUUUUUUUUUUUUUUUCAACCGCAUAAUCUGUCGUCAUGCUUGUAUUUGGGGCUACUUUGGAAUAAUUAUGUUUGAAUUACAAUAUAUAAAUAUUACAUUUUAAAAUUUUAUGAGAUUCUAAAUUUAUACACGUUCAAUAACCCACUUCAUAUAUGUUUAACACAAUUUAUAUCAUACAUUGUAUACCCAUUUGUCAUAAAUUACGCUAUUUUAUAUCUCUAAAUAAUAUUACAUAUUGAUAUUAUAAAAUGUUGUUAACUCACGUGUGUAUAUAUAUAUAGCAAGUCACGUGCAUAUAUUAUUGGUUGUUAUAUGUUUGCUAGUUUGAUAGGAUUUCCUUUCCUUGUGAACUAGGGUAAUUCUUAUGUACAUAUAAAUAUUGAUCAAUAAGAGUGCAGAUGAUGACUGCAGUUUUGCAUCGUAGAAAUUCUUCGUAAAAUAUAUAUGUUUAUCAAAAGGCUAUACCAUUCAAUAUAUAUUGGAAAGAGAACAAAGAAGAUCUUCUUAUGGUUUGAAAAUAUUAUGAAUUCUGCUGUUGAACAGUAUGGAAACAAGGUCUGUUGUUAAAGGUGAAGAAGUCACAGGGAACAAUAUUGAAGGAAGAAAUUUCACGUUUAGUUGCUGAAUUUGCCGCUGUAUUCUAUCGGUAGUAAAAAGAUUAGAGUUUUUAUUUUUCUCUAUUAAUGUUAAGUCAAUUUUCUAUAACAAAUUCGGUUGAGUUUAAUUGUGUUACAAUAUAAAUUGAAUGAUAGUAGAAUUUUCAACGAAUAAUUCAAUAUUUCUAUCUCGAUUGUUGAAGUGCCAUUUAUUUGUUAUACGAUCGAUUUUAAAAUUUAUAAAAUUAUUUGUUACUAAAUUGCAUCAUAUGCUAAAUCACCUGAAACCUAAUUUCAUAACUAACCCUUUAUUUUUAGUUCUCAAGAAAUCUUGUAAGAACAAAAUUCUUUUGUAACAAAACGUUUACAACAAAUUAAUUUGUAACUCAUUCCUGUGCGAGAAUCACUCUCAAUUUCCUUCAAUUGCUGUUUAACAAUCAUCUGCUUAUCAAAAUUCAAGCAUAAUCUUUUUUUUUAAUUUCUUCAUCAUUCUUUUGAAAAAAAAAAUCAGGAUAUGCUGUUAAAUUUUGAAAUAAAUUAUCUCAAAAUAAUUACUAACCAGAAAAAACAAAGGGGUUUAACUAGGUUAUGCAUACCUUUGAAAAUUAUAUGUUGAUCGAUAAGAAUGAUGAUCACGAUUGACGAGUUUAAUUAAAAUAUAUAAGAUUUUAAAAUUAAUCAGGGUUAAAUUGUGAAUUUUAGAAAGAGAGGUUUUGUGAGAAUGUUGAAAGGGUGUUAAUAGUUCCACUCUUUUUAAAAACAACCAUAGUCAUCAUUUUUCCAUGGUUGUUUUUAAAAAGAGUAUUUCUUCUUCCCAUCUCCAUCUUAUUUAGAAAUUUCCCAGAGCCUUUGUUUCCCACCUUUCAUUUUUCUUCUUUCUAAUUUAAUAAUCCACCCUUCUUGUAUUCAAACUAAAAAAUUAAAAUCUGAAAAUUUAAAACCCAAUAUUAUAGUAUUAUAAAAAUAAUUACUCACAUUUUAUCAAACACCUCCAUUCUUCCAAGGCCUUGUUUUAGUAGUAGGCUUUUAUUAUCUCAAUAAAAUUGAAAAAAAAAAUCUCAAUAAUAUUGGAAAAAAACCCUACCCAUAUUUGUAACUUUAAUUUAUUAUUCUCCAUAGACCUACUUUUUAGUUUUGAAUUUUGUUGGAGCCAUAUAUAAACAGAAUAUGUUGAAAUCAGCACCCAAAAAAAAAAAAACUAAUUAUAUAAUUUAUGUUCCCAAGGACAUGGCUGAGUGAUUUUCAAGAAGUUUUGUUUGGCUGGCCACUUAGGUUUAAAUCUUGGUGGAGAUUAAGGGUUAAGAAAUAAAUUUAGACUUUGCACACCCCUUUAACUUUUAAAAAGAAAUGAAAAAAUUAAUUAAUUAAUCUUUAUUUUAUUUAUUAAAUGUCAUAAUCCUAUGCGUAUUUUAUUUGUUAUCUUUCUAUUUAAAAGACGAGGGCAGAUAAAACUGAAAUAAAUUUUUAGCCCUAUCUCCAUAUUUCAAGUUCCAUAGUUAGGUGACCAGCUAAAAAAAAUUAAUUGAAAGCUACUCCAUCAAAUUAAAAAAAUUUAUUUAUUUAAUUUGUGGAGAUGUAGAAAAUCAAACCCCAUACCUUUUCGCAUACACUGAACAUAUUUUAAUACAUGACUAUCAUCCUUUAUCCUAAAUACUACUAUAACUAAUAACAUACAAUUGAAAUAAUUAAUGUUAACACUUGGCUAUAAAUAAAGGUUUUGUGCUUGAAUCUUCACGCAUGACCUUCAUUCCUUUAUUGACUUUGCUAACACAGAUUUUGAGGCAUUAAAACUAAAUAAUAAUUGACUUUGUGGGCCGAGGAUGCCAGCAACAAGGAGACCACAAUUAUCACUUAAGUUACUCUAAUUGCCGUUGUCUUAUAUUCAUAGAAUAUUAGUAAUAAGAUUAUUGCAGAAUUUUUUUAAUAUUAAAAUUAAGUCAAUUUGUUAUAACAAAUUUAGUUGAGUUUAAUCGUGUUACUACAUAAAUUGAAUAAUAAUAGAAUUCUCGACAAAUAUUUCAAUAUUUUUAUCCCAAGCGUUGGAGUGGCAUUUAUUUGUUAUACGAUCGAUUUUAGAACUUAUAAAAUUAUUCGUUACUGAAUUGCACCAUAUGCUGCAUGACCUGAAACUUAAUAAACGGAAUGUAGCGUUGGCACCGUUACUCAACAUACUGUUACGACUUUGUGACAUUAGAAUUAAAAUCUUUUGCACAUUUAAUUUGUUUACUUCAAAAUUAAUAUUUAACAAAAUAUUUUUUUCACAUUAUCAAUGGACAAAACUCCAACGAAAAUAACUACACAAGAAAAAUGUAUGCUAGUAUUGUGUGCCAUAUCAUCUGUAAUUUUGUCAGGAUCGAACACUCUAAUUUUUAAGCAGAACUUUUUAUCAAUGGACAAACACCUCACACAGCUUGUCAGAGGCAUUAUUAUGAUAGAAAACUGUAAUGGUAUAUCUUGAAUUAUUGGUAGAAUAGUUCUUUGGAGCAAUAAAAAUAGAUAAGACAGAUGAGAAAAUUGUCAAUACCCCACCGCAAAAGCAAAAGAAAAAAAGGAAAGGAGACAAAAGAGGAAGAAGAAAAAAAGGAAAGGAGACAAAAGAGGAAGAAGAAAAAGAAAAAAGAACGAAGAAAAAAAUGGUGCCGCGCUGUAUUGGGAAGAAGAAAAAAAUUAAUAAAAUAAUAAUAAAUAAUAAAUAAUAAAUAAUAAAAUAAUAGUGCACAACAAUCAUUUGAUUGCUAUAAAUAAAGGGGCAUUUUCCUCAUUUUAUUCAUCGAAUUCUUCAGUUCCUUUCAAGCGAUUUAAGAGUCUAGUGAUUUGAGAGUUUGGGAGUAUUGUGAUUUUGAGUACUAAGUUAAAAUACUAUAAUACUUGUAACUCAUUUUCACUAGUAAAAUAUUUUUCUUCUGUCUUCGCCCGUAGACGUAGGCUAAAAGCUGAACCACGUAAUUUCUGGUGUCCCUAUGUGAUUAUGUGUCUCAUUAUUUCUCAAUUUUACUUUAGUUACGUGUCUGCUACACCCUUCAAUUUACUAACAAAAAUGGCCAAAAUUAUAUAAGUGACCCAAAUUUUUUUGCUAUUUCCAAGAAAUCCCCAAUCGGAAUAGACCAAACUAGAGGGAGGCAAGUUAGAAAUACGUUUCCUUCAUAAACAAUAACAGCGAUGAGUCGAUGACAUCGAGCCACGUCGGUAUCAAUAUUGAAUUAAAGGUGCAAUUAUUCAGCCAAUGAGCCUUACACAUCAAGAUAAAAGUCAAGAAAAUGAAAAAUUUAUCCUAAUUAAAACACUUUCUGGCUGCAUUUAGCUGUUUCUAUUUGAAGUUAAAAACAACAUUUCUUUCGUUUUGUGGGCAACUCGACUGAGUUCGCUGGCUUCUAGUGCUAGUAUGUGAAAAUAGAAGGCUAAUGAUUUAUUUGUUAUCUUUUGACAAAAAAUGUUAAAGAUAUAAUAGAUUUUCCAUGAUACAAAUGAAAAAUUAUAUCAACAUAACUUCCAAGCUACAGCAGCUAGUGUUUACCAAACACUUUGCUGUAGCUUUUAAGCUACAGCUGCCCAACCUCAAUAGGUUGAUUGAAUUUGUGGGAUAUAGAUUCCACAUAUCUCAUGACCUAUUAAUUAUACAAGUGGUUCUUGAUCAAGAACAACAUUUGCUUCCGACCCAGUAACCCAGCAACUGCUGCACUGGUCGCCACCUAUGGUGCCGACGAUAUUGCAUGGUCCAAUUAUGGCCUUGAAUGGAAAAAGUUGAGCAAAUUAUUUGUGGGCACGAUGAUAAGUAACGCAAGCCUUGAUGCUAGUUAUGGUCGAAGAAAACAAGAGGUUAAGAAUACUAUCAGAGAUAUGCAUAACAACAAAAAGGAAAAAAAAAAAAAAAGGCAUUGGCAAGUCAAUUGAUAUUGCUGAAUUGUCGAUUUCAACUUUGGCAUGUGUAAUUCAGACAUUGCGCGUUGUGGUAUGGCGCUGGCACGCUUGCAUUGCCGAGAGGACAAAUCUUGGGGCUGGGCUAAAAUUUAGGCUUGUAGAACUCAUGGUGCUAAUGGGAACGCCAAAUUUUUUUAACAUAUUUCGGUGCUUUCAUGGUUUAAUUCAAGGUAUAGAAAGGAGUGUUGAGAAUGUCAAAUAAAACGACAUUGAAUGGAAGUUGUCAAAGACAUGAUCCGCACUGAACGGCAAUGACACGGUUGGUAAAGAUUUUUUCAUAAUAUGCGUAUCUAAUUUUUGAAAAAUUGUAACCUCUGCUUCUAUAAAUAUGCUCAAUGUAUAAUGUUUUACUUAAGAAAUGAAAAACUUAAUUCUUUAUGGUAUCAGAGCGAGGCUCGUUGCUCUGUUUGUAACAAAAACAAAGAAAACUAAAUUCUUCCCACAACUAUUUUUCCACCUUUUUUUCUUCCUUAAAAGCAUUCCUAGCAUUACAGAAACCCAUGCCAAUAAAAGAACAAGCCACACAUAUGUAAAAACUUUAGUUUACAAAUCUAUCAACAUCCCCAUAAAUUUUCCCAAAAAGUGAUCUUCAAAAACCAAAAAUACCAUCAAUUUUCGCAUCUUCUAGUAAACAAACUAUAAAAGUUUCGCACUCAAACAGAGCCACACGCGCCUCCACGCGCUUCCCGGAAUCACGGCCAACCACCACGCGCCUCUGUCACCACCAACUCACCCUCAUGCGCUCCAGAUGUUGCAGAAGACGCAAAACGACGUGUCGUUUUCUUCUCUAAAAGUGCAGCAACGUGGAAAUGACUUUUUGUUUUUGCCUUAAAUUGUUUUUCCUCGUUUGAAGCUAUACAACAUUUUUCUUUCUAAACCUGUUUUUUACAAUAAAAAAAGAAAAAAAUGGAGAAAACUCCAACUGAAUCUACUCAUGUUGUCAUUCAAUCUGUUCAACCUGAUGGAGUAUUUAAUGCCGAAAUUAUCCUUACUAAGACAAACUACGAUAUUUGAUCUCAAAUAAUGGAGAUGCAUCUCGCAGAAAGAAAAAAACUCCCAUAUAUUCGUAGCAGCAUAAAUCCAUCUGACAAAUUUUCAAAGAAAUAUGAGAAAUGGUAUAGUGAGAACCAAAAAGUAAAAAGAUGGUUACUCAUAACCAUGUGUCCUGAGAUCAUGAAGCGAUAGUUACAAAUUCCUACAGCCUACGAAAUUUAGAAUGCAUUAUCAAAAGCCUUUUAUAAUGGAAGCGAUGAAAUACAAGUUUUCACUCUAAAUCAGAAGGCGUUCUCUACGAAGCAAAAUGGACAACCACUCUCUAAAUUCUACGGAGAAUUGAUCAAAAUGUUUCAAGAACUUAAUCACCGAGAUAAAGUGGUCAUGAAGGAUCCAGAAGAUGUUAUAAUAUAUAGGAAGUUUGUUGGAAGAUUGAGAGUGCACAUUUUUCUUGCUGGACUAGAUGAAGAAUUUGACCAAGUUUGUGGAGAAAUUCUACGAAAAGAUACUAUCCUAGACUUAAAAGAAUGUUAUUCUCUAAUCCGAAAAGAAGAUGUACGGCAAAGCAAACUAACAAGAAGGUGGACGACUCAGAAACGUCUGCUAUGAUACCACAAGAGAACAAUGUUUUGAAAUUGUUCGAUAUCCUGACUGGUGGGAUACUCGAAGUAAUAACACAAAGCAGAGAUAAAAAACUGCAGUAGCUGAAUCCACAUCCACUACAGAUCUUAGAAAAGAAUCUUCAGCGCAAAUUGCAACCUCUGUCAAUUCAGGUAAGGUCAUUAAAACUCUUACAUUUGUUAUUAAUAGUAUAUGGAUAAUUGAUUAUGGUGCAACUGAUCAUAUGACUUUUGAUUCUUGACAAGUUUCUUAAUUGAAACCAUCUUCACAUAAACAUGUUUCUACUGUAAAUAGAACCACAACCUCAGUUAUUGGGGAAGGAUCUUUACAACUCACAAUUAAAUCAAAUUUAGACUUUGUGUUAAUUGUUCCAUCUUUAAAUUAUAAUCUUUUAUAUGUGUCUCAAAUAACCUCUUACUUAUCAUGUGUUGUAAUGUUUUGGCCCGAUCAUUGCAUGUUUAAGGACAUCCAAAUGAAGGAAACGAUUGGUUAUGAUAUUAAAUAAGGCAACUUGUAUUACCUGGAGAUGACAUCAACAAACACUGAAAAGCUAAGCCCCGCAUUAGUAGCAGACAAUUCCAUGAAAAAAAAGGAAAUAAGAAAUUUGGUUAUGGCAUAGACGAUUAGGGCAUGUGUCAUUUGAUUUCUUAAAAAAAUUGUUUCCUAGUUUGUUUCUGAAAUUUGAUAUUUGUAACUUUAAAUAUGAUGUUUGUGAACUUUCAAAUAGCCAUCGAACUACUUUUCCAUUGUCCUUAAAUAAGAAUCCAAUUCCUUUAAUGGUAGUACAUUCUGAUGUAUAGAGACCAUCUAAAGUUUCUACCAUUGGAAGAGCUCGUUGGUUUGUUACAUUUAUUGAUGAUUGUAGCAGAAUGACAUGGAUUUUUUUAUGAAAUUAAAAUCAUAUGAUGGUGACAACUCUAUUUCAGACACAAAUUUGAGUUCUACAUACUGAUAAUGGAGGCGAGUAUAUGAGCACAACAAUUCAACAGUUUUUGAAAUCACAAUGAACUCACCACCAAACCACUUGUGUGGGGACACUCCAACAAAAUGGCGUUGCUAAACAAAAAAAUAGACAUUUACUAGAAGUUGUUCAAGCAUCACUAAUUUAGGCCCGCAUGCCACUAUUUUAUUGGGGAGAAGCAUUGGCAUCCGUAGCAUACUUGAUCAAUCGGACACCUUCAAUCUUCCUUGGAUUCCAAACUUAUUUUCUAGUUCUAAAUGAAGAAUUAUGUCAUCAAAUGUGUCGAAUUUACCCCCACAUAUGUUUGGUUGUGUUGCCUUCGUUCAUUUGCCAUGACAAGAUAAAUUAUCUCCUCGAGCACUACGUUGUGUGUUUGUAGGGUAUGCCUUACAUCAAAAGGGGUACCGAUGCUAUCAUCCUCUAUUAAGAAAAAAUAUACAUCACCAUGGACAUAAUCUUUCAUGAAGAUAUCAUGUAGUACCCAUCGGAGCUUGAAUUUCAGAGGGAGUAUAAUGAAGAGGAAAUUCAUACUCUUACAUAUCUUUCACCUGAAGAAGAUCAAUCCUCCAUUGAGGUAGUAAACGUUCAAGAUACUGGAAAAGAAAACGACAAUGAUUCUCAGGCUGAGACAAGUGAAGACACAUUUAGGGAGCAAAAUAACUCAGACAUAACCACAAUCGAGAACGAGUCCAUGAAGAGCCACAUGAAGAAAUAUCUAACCAAUCAUCUGCAGAGGAUGAUCCUACCACAAAUCCCAGUCUAAUCAGAAGAAUACUUCCCCAGCAUCAAAAUAGAGGUAUCUCUAAACCCACAUAUAAGACUGACCUCUCUAGUAGAGUCAAAUACCCUAUGAGUCAUUUUGUAUCUAACCAUGGCUUAUCAAAAUCAAAUCAGUCAUUUGUGAAUCAAUUAUCUACUGUGUCUAUUCCUAACAGUGUGCAAUAAGCCUUAAAAUAUCGAAAGUGGAAAGGGCUAUGAAUGACGAAAUGAGAUCUCUUUAAAAAAAAUCAAACAUGGGAACUAAUUGAUCUUCCACCAGGAAAGAAACCAGUGGGUUGCCGAUGGAACUAGUUGAUCAUCCACCUCCAUUCUGACAAGCAAUGUUUAUCAGCAAUAACAAAUGACUGAAGCAUUUUAAUGAGGUUAGUAACGAAAAAGAGUUUAAUUAGAGAAUAUUAUAAGAGAAAUUCUAAUUUUUGAUUUUUAAUAAAUUAAAAUAUCUUAAAAUAUUAUUAGUUGGUGGUGGUUUCAUGUCAGAUUAAGACGUGACACCUUACUAAUGAGGUCGAGACAAUUAGCUUAAAUUAUUUCAAUGCAUUUGAAAUUUCCACUAAUGACUAUAAUUCUUUGUCCUAAUUACUAUGAUAAUUAAUAACAUACAAUUGAAAUAGUUAAUAUUAGCACUUGGCAAUAAAUAAUUAAAUUUCAUUAACACUAAAUAAUAAUUGAAUAUGGCUUUGUACAUCGAUGACGCCAGCAACAAGGGGACCGCGAUUAUCACUCUUUAAGUUGCUUUUAAAAUUGAUUUUAGUAGUGAUAUGAUUAUUGUAGUGUUUUUAUUUUUUAUAUUAAAAUUAAGUGAUUUGUUAUAAUAAACUUAGUUGAGUUUAAUGGUAUUACUACAUAAAUUGAAUAGUUAUCAAAUAUUUUAAUAUUUUUAUGGCAAGCGUUGACGUGGCAUUUAUUUGUUGUAUGAUGGAUUUUAAAAUUUAUAAAAUUAUUUGUUAUUAAAUUACCCCCAGAUGCUACAUCACCUGAAACUUAAUAAAGGUAUGAAGACAUGUGUGUGUGGACUGAAAUGAAGAAUAUGGAAAAGUUGAGAGCUGUUGUGCAGAUUGAGUUCAGUUGAUGGGGUCUAUUAGAUAUUGUCUGCUGACGUGGCAUGAAUUCGUUAUAAUCUGUUAUAACGAGUUCAGUAUAUCAGUAUACAAUAGAGCUGAUGGAUGGUGCCUGUUUUAGAGUCUUUUUUAUAUUCAUUUGUUCAUCAUUUUGCGCAAGAUCUGUUCCAUUGUGAUAUGUGUAAAGUCUUAUGUAAACCCACUUAUGAUUGGAUUAGUUCUUGAUUAAUAACAACGAGUAAAUUUUCCUUCAAGUGUGCUGGUCUGUGCCCCUGUUUUUUGUUCUGAUAUUGUUUCUUUGUUCUGGCAUUUCAUUUCGAUUGUGUUCUUGGUGUUUCUACUCAUCAAGAUUUAUGAGUCUUGUUGAGAUUAAAGACUUAAUAGUCUUAACAAGUGGUAUCAGAGCCUGGUGAAUCUCAGCCAUGUCUCUUUCGAAGCAUGAAAUUGAAAAAUUCACCAUUGGUGGUGAUUUCUCGCUUUCGAAAUUAAAAAUGAGGGCUCUCCUUGUGCAUUAGAGGCUUGAAUUUGCUCUGGAAAAAGAUAAUCUAGAGGCUGCUACAAGUUAUGUGACUGAUGAUAAGAAGAGACAAAUCCAAAACCGAGCUCGUAGCACUCUAGUUUUGAGUCUUGGUGACUCAAUCUUGAGAAAGAUUUCUGAAGAGAAGACAACCUUAGGGAUUUGGAACAAGGUAGAAGCUUUGUGUACAAAGAAGUCGCUAGCUCACAGACUAUUCUUGAAGAAAAAGUUAUACACAUUCUCGAUGAGAGAAGGAGUCACAAUUCAAGAUCACAUUGAUACCUUCAACAAGAUCAUUCUUGAUCUUGAAGGGGUGGAAAAUGUGACAAUAAGUGAUGAAGAUAAAGCCUUCUUCUUGUUGAGUUCCUUACCAAAGUCUUAUGAAGGCUUUGUAGAUACAAUGCUUUAUGGCAGAACAACAUUGACUCUUGAAGAUGUUAAAGCAUCUCUAAGUUCAAAAGAGAUUCAGAAGAACAAUGAGAUUGAAACAAAUAAUGGUGAUGGGCUGAUUGCCAGAUCAGAAAAGAAGAAAGAUCAGAAGAAUAAAAAUCAGGGAAAAUGACAUGGAAAGAAUUAAGAAAAUGCAGACAAGAAGAAAAAGAAGAGAAAAUGCUUCUACUGCCGGAAGGAAGGGCAUUACAUCAGGGAUUGUCUUAAAAAGAAAAAAAAAGAAAGUCAAGAGAAGUCAGGGGAUGCAGCUGUAGCCUCUGAUGAUGCCUCUGAUGGAUAUCACAUUGCUGAUUUACUUGUGGCCUCAAAUAGCAAUACUAAAGGUCAGUGGGUCAUAGACUCUGAGUGCUCUUUUCACUUGUGGCCUGAUAAAACCAUAUUUUACAAAUAUGAAGUUGUUGAUGGUGGUAGAGUCUUAAUGGGAAAUAAUAAUGUGUGUAAUCUUGUUGGUAUUGGUUCUGUGAAGAUCAAGAUGUUUGAUGGAACUGUAAGAGCUCUACAUGAGGUGAGGCAUGCUCCUAGGCUAAAGAGAAAUCUAAUCUCUUUAGGCAUGCUAGACAGCUUAGGGUAUUUCUUUAAAUCAGAAAGUGGUGGUUUAGAGAUAAGAAAGGGGACUGAGAUAGUGAUGAAGGGGGUUAAAGAAAAUGGCUUAUAUGUAUUGUAAGGCUCAUCAGUGCUUCUUCAAAAGGGAAUUUCUGCUCUUUUUGAGGAAGAUAUAACCAAGUUAUGACAUCUUAGACUUGGUCAUAUGAGUGUCAAAGGGAUGUAAGAGCUCAGCAAACAAGGGCUACUUGGUGGGGAUAGAAUCCAGCAACUGGAAUUAUGUGAAAAUUGCAUUUUUGGCAAAGCUCACAGGUCCAAGUUUCACAAGGGGGAGCAUAUGUCUAAGCAAGUUUUGGACUAUGCACAUGCUGACCUUUGGGGGCCUGCUCAAGUCCCAUCCUUGAGUGGUGGCAGGUAUUUCAUAUCACUAAUUGAUGAUUACUCAAGGAAGAUGUGGGUCUACAUACUCAAGACCAAAGAUCAAGCCUAGGAAAAAAUUCAAGGUAUAGAAAUCUUUGGUAGAAAAUCAAUUUGGAUUCAAGCUCAAAUGCUUGAGAACUGAUAAUGGUUUGGAAUUUUGUAGCAAAGAAUUUGAGGAAUAUUACAAAAAAACAUGGCAUAAAAAGGCACAAAACAGUCAGGUUCACCCCCCAGCAGAAUGGCUUGGCUGAAAGGAUGAACAUGACCUUGGUAGAUAAGACCAGAUGUAUGUUGAUAAAUUCAAAGCUUCCAAGAAGCUUUUGGGCAGAAGCUGUCAAUACAACAAGUUGUUUGGUUAACAGAAGCCCAUAUUCUGCAAUUGGCUUCAAAACACCAGAAGAAUUGUGGAAGGAAAAACCUGUAAAUUACCAAAAUCUCAGUGUUUUUGGAUGCCCUGCUUAUCUCCACAUCAAUCAAGGCAAGCUGGAAGCUAGGGCCUUGAAAGGAGUCUUUGUUGGAUAUCCUGAUGGGGUUAAGGGAUACAUAAUCUGGUGUAGAGAGUAAGGGAAGUGUAUAGUCAGCAGGGAUGUUGUGUUUCAUGAAUUUGGAUUGCUAAAAGAAAAUGCAGAGAAUGAUACUAGACUACAAAAUGAUUCAAUAAUUAUCAAACAAUCUGGAACUUCCAAGGUUAAGGUGGAGCUGUUUGGAAAUAAAGACAGUAGAAAAGAGGUAGCUGAUUAUGAAGAGAGGACCACAGCUAAAGUUGAGGAACAUGAGUCAUCAGAGUUGCCACAAGCUGACUUGCAGACUUAUCAGUUAGCAAGAGAUAGAGUUAGAAGAGAAGUCAAAGCACUAGUGAGGUAUGGCUAUGCUGACUUAAUUACUUAUGCAUUGUUGUGUGCUGAUGAUGUGGCAAUUGAAGAGCCUGCUAACUUCUCUGAAGUUAUUGAAAGUGUGCAUUGUGAUAAGUGGCUUGAGGCAAUGCAAGAUGAAAUGGGAUCCCUUCAAAGAAAUCAGACCUGGACACUUGUUCCAAAUCUAGGUAAUAAAAAGUUGAUCAGUUGUAAGUGGAUCUUCAAGAAGAAUGAAGGAAUUCCAGAUGUUGAACCUCCCAAAUAUAAAGCAAGGCUAGUGGCUAGGGGGUUUACACAGAGAAAGAGUGUAGAUUUCAAUGAAAAAUUUUCCCCUGUUCUUAAGCACAUUUCAAUAAGAAUUUUAUUAGUCAUGGUAGCCUUACUUGACUUGGAGCUUGAGCAAAUGGAUGUAAAAACAGCAUUCCUUCAUGGUAAUCUUGAAGAACAGAUAUUGAUGGCACAACCUAAAUGUUUUGAGUGCAAAGGAAAUGAGGAUUAUGUUUGUUUGCUGCAUAAGUCCUUGUAUGGACUCAAGCAAUCCCCACGACAGUGGUACAUAAGAUUUGAUGAUUUUAUGGUCUCAAAAGGCUAUCACAUAAGCAAAUAUGACAGUUGUGUUUACUUUGGUGGAUCAUAUCAAGGUGGAGUUGCUUAUUUGCUUCUGUAUGUUGAAGAUAUGUUAAUUGCAAGAAAAUAUAAGUUGGAGAUAGAGAGGUUGAAGAAAUGAAGGAUCUCGGCAAUGCCAAAAGAAUCCUUGGGAUGAACAUUACAAGGGGCAGAUCUGCUGACACUUUGUUCUUGAGUCAUGAGAAAUAUAUCAAGAAGGUUCUGGAGAGGUUUGAGAUGCAAGACUAUAAACCUGUCCAAACACCACUUGGUCCCCAAUUCAAGUUGACAGCAGCUCAAUCAUCAGAAGAUGAGUCUCAGGUGAGUGAAUUCCCAUAUGCACAGGUUGUAGGGAGCCUGAUGUAUGUAAUGGUAUGCACCAGGUCAGAUAUAGCUUAUGCAGUAAGUGUUGUCAGCAAAUUUCUCAGUUGUCUAGGCAAGGUUCACUGGAAUGUUGUAAAAUGGAUAAUGAGAUAUCUUAAGGGCUCUUUUACUUGUGGUUUGCUGUAUGGGAAGACUAAGAGUGACAUAAGUGAAGUCCUGGGGUUUGUAGACUCUGACUUUGCUGGAGAUCUUGAUAGAAUGAAGUCAACCUCAGGGUAUAUGUUUGUGUUAAACAGUUGCCUGAUUAGCUGGAAGUCAUCACUUCAGUCUGUGGUUGCUUUAUCCUCAACUGAAGCUGAGUUUGUUGCAACUACAGAGGCAGUAAAAGAGGCCAUGUGGCUAAGAGGUUUGCUUAAUGAGUUAUGGUUAAAUCAGAAAAUUGUUCAGGUUUUCUGUGAUAACCAAAGUGUCAUACACCUGGUAAAGAAUCAGAUGUAUCAUGAAAGAACCAAGCACAUUGAUGUGAAGCUCCAGUUUAUCAGAGAUGAGGUUGGAAAAGGAACUAUAAUUGUGUCCAAGAUCUAUACCAGUGUGAAUCCAACUGAUGUUAUUACAAAAGCACUUCCCACUGCAAAAUUUGAAUUCUAUGUGAAUCUAAUGGGCAUCUCGCCCAAACCUAACUAAAUUCAAUAGUGAAUUGUAGUUGAAUGAAGGUUUUUUAGGUGCUGUGUUAUUGAAAGGAUCAACUGAAUCAACUGCAAGGUGGAGAAUGUGAAGAUGUGUGUGUGGACUGAAAUGAAGAAUAUGAAAAAGUUGAGAGCUGUUGUGCAGAUUGACUUCAGUUGAUGGGGUCUAUUAGAUAUUGUCUGCUGACGUGGUAUGAAUUCGUUAUAAUCUGUUAUAACGAGUUCAAUAUAUCAGUAUAUAAUGGAGCUGAUGGAUGGUGCCUGUUUUAGAGUCUUUUUCGUAUUCAUUUGUUCAUCAUUUUGCACAAGAUUUGUUCCAUUGUGAUCUGUGUAAAGUCUUCUGUAAAUCCACUCAUGAUUGGAUUAGUUCUUGAUCAAUAACGAGUAAAUUUUCCUUCAAGUGUGCUGGUCUGUGCCCCUGUUUUUGGUUCUAAUAUUGUUUCUUUGUUUUGGCAUUUCAUUUCGAUUGUGUGCUUGGUGUUUCUACUCAUCAAGAUUUGUGAGUCUUGUUGAGAUUAAAGGCUUAAUAGUCUUAACAAAAGGGAAUGUAGCAUUGCCAUUAAUCAACAUUCACUCUUAUGACUUUAUGACAUUAGAAUUAAAAUCUUUCGUACAUUUAAUUUAUUUGCUUCCAAAUUAAUCUUUAAUAAAUAUUUUUUCACAUUAUCAUCAAUGGACAAAACUCCAACGAAAAUAACUACACGAGAACAAUUUAUGCUAGUAUUAAAUGCCACGAUAUCUAUAACUUUGUCUGGAUCGAUCAUUCUAAUUUUUUCGCAGAACUUUUUGUCAAUGGACAAACACCUCACAGAGCUUGUCAGCCGCAUUAUUACGAUGUAAAAUUGUACCGGAAUAUCUUGAAUUAUUAGUAGAAUAAUGAAGACUAUUUGGGGCAAUAAAAACAAAUAACGCAGAUAAAAAAAUGGCUAAAAUUAUGUAAGUGAGCCCCAAAGUUUUUGCUAUUUCCAGGAAAUCCCAAAUUUGAAUGGACUAGAGGGAGGCACGUAAGAAAUACAUUUUCUUCCUAGACAAUGACAGCUAUGACAUCAAGCCACGGUGGCGUCAGUAUUGAAAUUAAGGUGUAAUUAUUCAGCCAAUGAGCCUUACACAUCAAGAUAAAAGUCAAGAUAAUGAAAAUUUGGCUGUUUCCAUUUGAAGUUAAAAGCAACGUUUCUUUCGUUUUGUGGGCGACUCGACUGAGCACGCCCCAAUAGCUAUAUUUAGGGCGUCAAUUUGAUAUUUGAAUGGACAGGCAAGUAAGAAAUACAUUUCCUUCAUAGACAAUGACAACGAGGACAUCAAGCCACAUCAUUAUAGUUUGUAGCCCAUCUACAUUUAAACGAUUAAUAAACAAGCUUAGGUGUGCCACUGCUAUUAUUAAUUAUCCCCUGAUCAUUAUAGUUUCUGAAACAGUAAAACUAAACGAAAUUGAAUACAUCAACGAGACCGCAAUUAUCACUUGUUUAGUUGCGGUAUUUAACUUAAUUUUAAUAUAAUAUAUUUGUUAGUUAAACUUUUAAUAAUCAAAUAAUUUUGAUUUAAAAAUAAAAUUAUAGAAAUUAUUAAUUAUUAAUUAUUAAAAAUUCACAAUUAAGGGAACGUUCAUCAAACACACAUAGCUAUUGUUUUCUCUAUAUAUUGCAGUGUGUACGAUAUUGAGGGUUGAAGCCCCAAGCAUGCUCUAAAAUCCAGAUAAUAAUUAGAUCCGGGCCAAAUAUUCAUCAUUGUGUCAGCUGAUCAGUCGGUGGACAUCUCUAUUGAAAAUAUCUCUGACAUUUCACUCGACAAACUUAUUAAUAUAAAAAAUCUGUGGUUUUGCCGUCUGAAUAAUGUAGAAAAAUUUGUCUAUGCAUUAAUCUAGAUGUUUGAGGUGAUUUAUACAUCUGUGGUAAAGAUUUAUAGGUUGACUUAGACGUCUGUGGUAUAGAUUUUAUGUAUUUCAUUACAAAAUGCUGGCCGUUAGAACCCUUUCUACAUCUAUUUAUAAGAUUAACGGGUGCCAGCUAUGCCAUUACAAAUUAUCCCCUCAUCAGAUAUUUCGUUAAAAUUCAUUCUGAAACACUAAAACUAAAUAAUCGAAUAUGGCUUUGCGGGUCGAUGAUGCCAGCAGCAAUGAGACUGCAAUUAUCACUUGUUUAGUUUCUGUGCUGGCCGUGGUUUACUUCGCAUGGAAUGUGAAAAAAUCAAGGAAAGCAAAUGCUACACUGCCACCAGGACCUCGCGGCUUGCCUGUAUUCGGAUACCUCCCAUUUCUUGGAACUACUGACUUGCACAAGAAAUUCACGGAAUUAUCCGGAGUUUAUGGUCCGAUCUUCAAGCUUUGGCUUGGAAAUAAAUUAUGUGUAGUGGUGAGCUCACCUUCCCUAAUUAGACAAGUGGUUCGUGAUCAAGAUACAACAUUCGCGAACCGUGACCCACCGAAGGCUGCACUAGUGGUCUCCUAUGGUGGCAAUGAUAUUGCAUGGUCCAAUUACGGUCCCGAAUGGAGAAAGUUGCGCAAAUUUUUUGUGGGCAAGAUGAUGAAUAACGCAAGCCUUGAUGCUUGUUAUGCUCUAAGAAGACAAGAGGUUAAAAAUACUAUCAGGGAUUUGUAUAACAACGACAACAAAAUUGGCAAGCCCAUUGACAUUGGUGAAUUGUCGUUUUCAACAUUGGUAUGUGCUAUACAGAACAUGCUGUGGGGUGAAGCGCUUGAAUUAAAAGAGAAAGGGACCACUAAUCUUAGGGCUGGGCUAAAAUUUAAGCUGGCAGAACUCAUGGUGCUUGCGGGAACACCGAAUAUUUCGGAUGUCUUUCCAAUGCUUUCAUGGCUUGACAUACAAGGUAUAGAGAGGAGAGCAAAGAAGAUUUCACUCUGGCUUGAUAAUGUUAUAAAUUCUACUGUUGAACAGCAUAGAAACAAGGAGUUAACUGUUGAAGGUGAAGAAAGAGCGGGGAAAAAUUUUGAAGGAUCAAGGAACAAGAACUUCUUGCAGUUACUAUUGGAGCUUCAAGAAAAUGAUGACAGUGCUUCCUCAAUUAGCAUGAACCAAUUCAAGGCCGUACUCGCGGUAUGUUAAGCAACUAGCCACGAACAGUUAUACAAGCACAAUUGUAUAUUUGCAUGAGUGAUAUUUUCAACCUUUUUUUUUAAUUAGAAUUUUAUUGUCACCUUUUGGACAGGAUAUAAUUACGGCUGGAACCGACACCACAACUACGAUGGUGGAAUGGACAAUGGCAGAGUUGAUGCAGCAUCCACAAGUAAUGAAGAAAGUUCAGGAAGAAUUAGCUCAAGUUGUGGGCAUGGACAGUUGUGUUGAAGAAUUUCACCUGUCUAGAUUAAUGUAUUUAGAUGCUGUGGUGAAGGAAACAUUUCGUCUGCAUCCUGCAGUGCCUUUAUUACUACCACGUAGGGCAAGCGAGAGUGGCAACAUUGGUGGCUAUACCAUUCCCAAAGAUACAACUCUUAUGUUGAAUGUUUGGGCUAUCCACAGGGACCCUCACCUUUGGGAUAAUCCCUUAGAAUUUCGACCCGAGAGGUUUCUGAAUGUUGGUAUCGAGAGUAAGUUCGAUUACUCAGGUAACAAUUUUCAGUACUUGCCAUUUGGUUCUGGUAGAAGGAUGUGUGCUGGGAUUCCUCUAGCUGAGAGGAUGCUGAUGUUUGUUUUGGCUUCGUUAUUGCACUCAUUCGAGUGGGAAUUGCCAACUGGCACAAAGCUAAACUUAUCAGAAAAAUUUGGGAUUGUCAUUAAGAAAAAAGAGCCUUUGGUUGCUAUUCCAACACCAAGACUAUCCAAUUCAGAGCUCUACCAUUAAGACCAAAUGGUUGUGAUGAUUUUGUUAAUUUCCGAAGAUUUGUAUGUUAUUUCAAGUUCAAUCGUAGUAAAAUAUUUCAAAUAAGAGUCCUCCGUUGCUUUUUUUUUUUUUUUUCAACGGCAUAAUCUGUGGUCAUGCUUGUAUUUGGAGCCACUUUAGAAAAAUUAUGUUUGAAUUACAAUUUAUAAAUAUUACAUUUUAAAAUAUUAUGAGGCUAAAUUUAUACACGUUCAAUAACCCGCUUCAUAUAUAUUUAACACAAUUUAUAUCAUACAUUGUACACCCAUUUAUCAUAAAUUACACUAUUUUGUAUCUCUAAAUAAUAUUACGUAUUGAUAUUAUAAAAUAUAUAUGGAAAAGAGAACAAAGAAGAUUUCUUAUGGUUUGAAAAUAUUAUGAAUUCUGCUGUUGAACAGUAUGGAAACAAGGUCUCUGUUGUUAAAGGUGAAGAAGCAACAGGGAACAAUAUUGAAGGAAGAAAUUUCACAUGUUUAGUUGCUGAAUUUGCCGCUGUAUUCUAUCGGUAGUAAAAAAAUUAGAGUUUUUAUUUUUCUCUAUUAAUGUUAAGUCAAUUUUCUAUAACAAAUUCGGUUGAGUUUAAUUGUGUUACAAUAUAAAUUGAAUGAUAAUAGAAUUUUCAACGAAUAUUUCAAUAUUUCUAUCUCGAUUGUUGAAGUGCCAUUUAUUUGUUAUGCGAUCGAUUUUAAAAUUUAUAAAAAUUAUUUGUUACUAAAUUGCAUCAUAUGCUAAAAUCACCUGAAACCUAAUUCCAUAACUAACCCUUUAUUUUUAGUUCUCAAGAAAUCUUGUAAGAACAAAAUUCUUUUAUAACAAAACUUUUACAACACAUUAAUUUGUAACUCAUUCCUGUGCGAGAAUCACUCUCAAAUUCCUUCAAUUGCUGUUGAACAAUCAUCUGCUUAUCAAAAUUCAAGCAUAAUCUUUUCUUUUUUUUAAUUUCUUCAUCAUUCUUUUGAAAAAAAAAAAUCAGGAUAUGCUGUUAAAAUUUUGAAAUAAAUUAUCUCAAAAUAAUUACUAACCAGAAAAAACAAAGGGGUUUAACUAGGUUAUGCAUACCUUUGAAAAUUAUAUGUUGAUCGAUAAGAAUGAUGAUCACGAUUGAGGAGUUUAAUUAAAAUAUAUAAGAUUUUAAAAUUAAUCAGGGUUAAAUUGUGAAUUUUAGAAAGAGAGGUUUUGUGAGAAUGCUGAAAGGGUGUUAAUAGUUCCACUCUUUUUAAAAGCAACCAUAGUCAUCAUUUUUCCCGAUUUCUUCUUCCCAUCUCCAUCUUAUUUAGAAAUUUCCCAGAGCCUUUGUUUCCCACCUUUCAUUGUUCUUCUUUCUAAUUUAAUACUAUAGGAUUACAAAAAUAAUUACUCACAUUUUAUCAAACACCUCCAUUCUACCAAGGCCUUGUUUUAGUAGUAGGCUUUUAUUAUCUCAAUAAAAUUGAAAAAACAAAUCUCAAUAAUAUUGGAAAAAAAAAACCUACCCAUAUUUGUAACUUUAAUUUAUUAUUCUCCAUAGACCUACUUUUUAGCUUUGAAUUUUGUUGGAGCCAUAUAUAAACAGAAUAUGUUGAAUCAGCACCAAAAAAAAAAAAAAAAAACUAAUUAUAUAAUUUCUGUUCCCAAGGACAUGACUGAUUGAUUUUCAAGAAGUUUUGUUUGGCUGGCUACUUAGGUUUAAAUCUUGGUGGAGAUUAGGGGUUAAGAAAUAAAUUUGGACUUUGCACACCCCUUUAACUUUUAAAAAGAAAUGAAAAAAACUAAUUAAUUAAUCUUUAUUUUAUUUAUUAAAUAUCAUAAUCCUAUGCGUAUUUUAUUUGUUAUCUUUCUAUUUAAAAGACAGGAGGGCAGAUAAAACUGAAAUAAAUUUUUAGCCCUAUCUCCAUCUUUCAAGUUCCAUAGUUAGGUGACCAGGUAAAGAAAAUUAAUUGAAAGCUACUCCAUCAAAUUAAAAAAUUUUAUUUAUUUAAUUUGUGGAGAUGUAGAAAAUCAAACCCCAUGCCUUUUCGCGUGGAAAAGUGUCAACCUGGUCUAGCUAUGUUGCAAAAGUGAACAUAUUUUAAUACAUGACUAUCAUCCUUUAUCCUAAAUACUACUAUAACUAAUAACAUACAAUUGAAAUAAUUAAUGUUAACACUUGGCUAUAAAUAAAGGUUUUGUGCUUGAAUCUUCACGCAUGACCUUCAUUCCUUUAUUUACUUUGCUAACACAGAUUUUGAGGCAUUAAAACUAAAUAAUAAUUGACUUUGUGGGCCGAGGAUGCCAGCAACAAGGAGACCACAAUUAUCACUUGUUAAGUUACUCUAAUUGCCGUUGUCUUAUAUUCAUAGAAUAUUAGUAAUAAGAUUAUUGUAGAAUUUUUUUAUAUUAAAAUUAAGUCAAUUUGUUAUAACAAAUUUAGUUGAGUUUAAUCGUGUUACCACAUAAAUUGAAUAAUAAUAAAAUUCUCGACAAAUAUUUCAAUAUUUUUAUCCCAAGCGUUGGAGUGGCAUUUAUUUGUUAUACGAUCAAUUUUAGAAUUUAUAAAAUUAUUCGUUACUGAAUUGCACCAUAUGCUGCAUGACCUGAAACUUAAUAAACGGAACGUAGCGUUGGCACCGUUACUCAACAUACUGUUACGACUUUGUGACAUUAGAAUUAAAAUCUUUUGCACAUUUAAUUUGUUUACUUCCAAAUUAAUAUUUAACAAAAUAUUUUUUCACAUUAUCAAUGGACAAAACUCCAACGAAAAUAACUACACAAGAAAAAUGUAUGCUAGUAUUGUGUGCCAUAUCAUCUGUAAUUUUGUCAGGAUCGAUCAUUCUAAUUUUUAAGCAGAACUUUUUAUCAAUGGACAAACACCUCACACAGCUUGUCAGAGGCAUUAUUAUGAUGGAAAACUGUAAUGGUAUAUCUUGAAUUAUUGGUAGAAUAGUUCUUUGGAGCAAUAAAAACAGAUAAGACAGAUGAGAAAAUUGUCAAUACCCCACCGCAAAAGCAAAAGAAAAAAAGGAAAGGAGACAAAAGAGGAAGAAGAAAAAGAAAAAAGAACGAAGAAAAAAAUGGUGCCGCGCGGUAUAGGCAAGAAGAAAAAAUAAUAAUAAAAUAAUAAAAUAAUAGUGCACAACAGUCAUUUGAUUGCUAUAAAUAAAGGGGCAUUUCCCUCAUUUUAUUCAUCGAAUUCUUCAGUUCCUAAGCGAUUUAAGAGUCUAGUGAUUUGAGAGUUUGGGUAUAGUAUAGUUUUGAGUAGUGAGUUAAAAUAUUACAAUACUUAUAACUUAUUUUUACUAAUAAAAUAUUUUUCUUCUAUCUUCACCCGUGGACGUAGGGUCAAAGCCGAAUCACAUAAUUUUUAGUAUCCCUAUGUGAUUAUGUAUCUCAUUAUUUUUCAAUUUUACUUUAGUUACGUGUCUGCUACAUCCUUCAAUUUACUAACAAAAAUGGCCAAAAUUAUAUAAGUGACCCAAAUUUUUUUGCUAUUUCCAAGAAAUCUCCAAUCUGAAUGGGCCAGACCAGAGGGAGGCAAGUUAGAAAUACGUUUCCUUCAUAGACAAUAACAGCGAUGAGUCGAUGACAUCGAGCCACGUCGGUAUCAAUAUUGAAUUAAAGGUGCAAUUAUUCAGCCAAUGAGCCUUACACAUCAAGAUAAAAGUCAAGAAAAUGAAUAUUUAUCCUAAUUAAAACACUUUCUGGCUGCAUUUAGUUGUUUCCAUUUGAAGUUAAAAGCAACGUUUCUUUCGUUUUGUGGGCAACUCGACUCAGUUAGCUGGCUUCUAGUGCUAGUAAGUGAAAAUAGAAGGCUAAUGAUUUAUUUGUUAUCUUUUGAUAAAAUUAUUAAAGAUAUAAUAGAUUUUUCAUGAUACAAAUAAAAAAUCACAUCAACAUAGCUUCCAAAGUACAACAGCUAAUGUUUACCAAACACUUUGUUGUAGCUUUUAAGCUACAGCUGCCCAACUUUAAUUUCAAAUGCACCCUUAAUAGGUUGAUUGAAUUUGUGGGAUAUAGAUUCCACAUAUCGUAUGACCUAGUAACUAUACAAGUGGUUCGUGAUCAAGACACAACAUUUGCUUCCGGCCCGGUGACCCAGCAAUCGCUGCAUUGGUCGCCACCUAUGGUGCCAACGAUAUUGCAUGGUCCAAUUGUGGCCUUGAAUGGAAAAAGUUGAGCAAAUUAUUUGUGGACACGAUGAUAAGUAACGCAAGCCUUGAUGCUAGUUAUGGUCCAAGAAAACAAGAGAUAUGCAUAACAACAAAAAGGAAAAAAAAAAAAAAAAAAAAAAAGGCAUUUGCAAGCCCAUUGAUAUUGGUGAAUUGUCGAUUUCAACUUUGGCAUGUGUAAUCCAGAGCCUGCGCGCUGUGGUGUGGCGCUGGCACGCUUGCAUUGACGAGGGGACAAGUCUUGGGGCUGAGCUAACAUUUAAGCUCGCAGAACUCAUGGUGCUAAUGGGAACACCAAAUAUUUUUUGACAUAUUUUGGUGCUUUCAUGGUUUAAUUCAAGGUAUAGAAAGGAGUGUUGAGAAUGUCAAAUAAAACGGUAUUGAAUGGAAGUUGUUAAAGACACGAUCCGCACCGAACGACAACAGCACGGUUGCUAAAAAUCCUUCCGUAAUAGGCAUAUCUAAUUUUUGAAAAAGUGUAACCUCUACAUUUAUAAAUAUACUCAAUGUAUAAUGUUUUACUUAAGAAAUGAAAAACUUGUUUGUUCAAGGAGAAUAAAGAAAAAUUUUCUAUGAUUUUUCUAUGGUUUGAACAAAGAAGGUUUUAACGAGUAUUAUAGACCUCGAUUGAAUGUUCGAAUGUAUAAUAAAAGAGAAACUGUCACAUAAAUGACAAAGAUACUUGAAAAAAAAAAAAAAGGGCAGCAAUAGAGAAUUAGAUCCGACUGUACAAAUAACUAGUUAAUUCAUCGAUACAUCAUUUUCUUGCUAGAAAAUGACAAUUAUGACAGCAAGCCACGAUAGUGUCAAUAUUGAAAUUGAUUUGCAAUUAUUCAGCCUAUGAGCCUUACACGUCAAGAUAAAAGUCAAGAAAAUGAAAGUUAAUAUCAAUUAAAACACUUCCAUUUCUAUGUGAAGUUAAAAAACAACGUUUCUUUUGUUUUGUGGGGGAUUCAACUGAGCACGCGCCACUAGCUAGCUGGCUUCUAGUUCUAGCAUAUGAAAACAGAAUUCUAAAGAUUUCACUUUCACCUUUUUUCUUUUUUUGGGGUUUUGAAUCAAAGUCAAGGUCGCACUGAAUAAUAUGUAAAAUUUGAAAAAGAAGAAUUAAUAGAGAACAAAGUUUUGUUUUAAAUUCACAUGGUGUGCAUACAAUUCAACAAACACUUCCUAUAAUAAAUCUGGAGUUGUAUCCCACGUUGAACAAUAAAGGAAAGUCACCUAAAUAUACAUGUAGGAUAAGUUACUUUAUUUAGUAAGUUUGUAUUUUCUUCUUUCUUCUAGUUUACAUAUAAAUUUGAUUAGAUAACUUAACACAUAUUUUAAUACUUGAUCAGAAGCCCGACGUACAGGUGGAUCUAGAAACUUGAUUUCUAAGAGUAAUACUAUAAUAAAAAAAUAAUGAUUCAUAGAACCAAUAUCAAAAUUUGUUUACAAGAUUGCCCCCACUCAAAGGUAAUUUUCAUAGAAAUUAAUAGGAAAUUUAAUUGUUAGUGGGGUCAAAUUGCCCCCACACUCUGAAUGUAGAUCCACGCCCGACCCUGAGUCAAGUAUAUUUUGCCACAUAUACUCUGAAUGUCGGCAGGAAAAAUCUUCCACUUUAGUUAAAAAUUUUCACUUAAAAAAUAUUUAUGUUAAUAAAGUUCGUAAAGGAAAUGAGUUUAAUUAAUGAAUAUUAUAGGAGAAAUUAAAGGAAAUGAGUUUAAUUAAAGAAUAUUAUAGGAGAAAUUCUAUUGUUCGGCUUUUAAUAAAUUAAUUAAUAGGUUUAAAAGAUUAAUAUACAUCAAAAUAUUAUUAGUUGGUGGGGGUUCCACAUCGGACUAAUACGUGUCACCUUACUUGUGAGAUUAAGACAAUCGACUUAGACUAUUUAAAUAUGUUUGAAGCUUAGAUGGCACCGCUUCAAUUUGCAUUACUGAAUGUCAUUCUUUAUCCUAAUUACUACCGUAAUUGAUAACAUGCAAUUGAAGUAACUAAUAUUAGCACUUGGCUAUAAAUGAACUAAAGGCCGUGCAAUUGAAUCUUUACUUGAUCACUUCACUCCUUUAUUUUGCUAACACAGAUUUUGAGAUAUUAAAACGAAAUAAUAAUUGAAUCUGGCUUUGUGGGUCGAUGAUGCUAGCAAAAACGAGACCACAAUUAUCACUUGUUUAUUUGCUGUAUUUGACGUUGUUUCAUAUUGGUAGUAAUAGGGUCAGUUUUUAAUCUUUUUAUAUUAAAGUUAAGUCAAUUUGUUAUCAAAAAAAAAAAUUGGUUGAGUUUAAUUAUAUUGCUAUGUACAUUAAAUAAUUAUAAUAUUCUUGAGGGAAAAAGACACCUAGAACCUCAAGGUUUGGGGAAAUGGUCACAAAGACUCCUAAGUUUUAAAAAAGGAACACUAAGAUCUUUUUUUACCCAUAAUACCCUUUGACUAGAGUAAUUAAAAAAUUGACUUUAAAGGUUUUUAAAUAAUUCUAAUUUAAUAUAAAUCAUAUAAUCUAUCUAGUAAACUAAUAAUAUUAAAUUAUUUUUUAUAUUUAAAAUAAUGUUAAAUUUUAAAUUAUUAUAUUUAUAAAAUUAUAAAGAUUUUAAAUAAAUAUUUGGAUUGAAUAUAUUUUACAAUUAAAAGUCUUCCUAUUAAUAAUAUUAAAAUUUAAUUUUACAAAAUAUAUAUUCAAAAUAUUUUUAAUUUUAAUUUAUUUAUUUUAAUAUUAUGUUUCUACCUAUUAUUAAAAAUUACUUUAAUAUAAUAAAAUAGGUCUAAUAGAUUGAAAAAUAUGAAAAUAUUUUUAAAAUUUUAAAUUAUUUUGAAAUGUAUAUAUUAUUACAUUUAUUUCAAUGUCAUAUUUUCAUUUAUUAUAAAAUUUUGGGGUUAUUUUUUUGGGAAUUUAUAGAGUCAAAGAGCAUUAUAAUUUAAUCCAUGCACAAUAUCUAUAAUUAUAUCGGUUGUCGGCUGAUUUCGUGGAGGGGGCGGCAGUUCAAAAUUUUUACGUGCAUGUUGGAUGGACGUCUCUAUUAAAGGAGAGCCACCACUUGCAUGGUAAUUUUUUUAAAUAAAUAUAUACAUUUCAAAACAUUAUUUUCUUGUUGUAUAGUUAACAUGUCACCUUAGAUGUAUUUUAGAGCUUCUCCUAUUAAAGAUAAUCUCAUGCAGUGUUACAGAGUAUGGUAAUAUGGUAUAGAUGAGAGCAUCUGAUUAAAUGAAGCAGCUGGUAAUGCUUACGUGUGUGAGUUAGUUAUCCAGCUCAGCAGCAAAGCAAACGAAAUGAAUUGCAUGCAUAUUAGAUCCAACAAACUGGUAAACUCUAGAUUCUUCUUUCAUUUAGUAUAAAUACCAAGUUGUUAUCAUUUGCUAAAUAUAUAAUAAGAUGAUCAUUUUCAGAUCUUUCCUUUAUAAUUUUCUAUAACUUUCUCGUUAGUUUCUCUUGAACCAAACACUUUGUACGAACUCUUUCGUGCAGUGAUACUUCUCGUGAUCUAAUCAUUAGUAGAAUCUAUAAUUUCGCUACUGUAAUAAAAUCUGUCACUACCCUAUAUGAAUGUAGAUAUUUGACGCGAUUUGUAAUUGCUUCCGACAGGAAAACAGCAAUAGUUUUAUUGAAAUUUGUGGUAUAGAUUCCACGAAUCUUAUGACAGAAUACUGACCACUCCAACCCUAUCCGCAUUUACACGAUUAAUACACAAGCUUAGAUGUGACAAUGCAUUUGUCACUCAUUCAAAUUCAUCCUGAAACACUAUACACUAAAUAAUCGAAUAUGGCUUCGUGGGUCGAUGAUGCUAGCAGCAACGAGACUGCAAUUAUCACUUGUUUUGUUGCUGUACUUGUCGUGGUCUAUUUCGCAUGGAAUGUAAACAAAUCAAGUAAAGCAAAUGCUAAAUUGCCACCAGGACCUCGGGGCUUGCCAGUAGUCCGAUACCUCCCAUUUCUUGGAACUACUGACUUACACAAGACAUUCACGGAGUUAUCUGGAGUUUAUGGUCCGAUCUUCAAGAUUUGGCUUGGGAAUAAAUUGUGUGUAGUGGUGACCUCGCCUACCCUAGUUAAACAAGUGGUCCGUGAUCAAGAUAUAACAUUCUCAAACCGCGACCCACCGAUCGCUGGAACUGUGACCACCUACGGUGGCAAUGAUAUUGCACUUUCCAAUUACGGUCCCGAAUGGAAAAAGUUGCGAAAAUUAUUUGUGAGCAAGAUGAUGAGUAAUGAGACCCUUGAUGCUUGUUAUGCUCUAAGAAAACAAGAGGUUAAAAAUACUAUCAGGGAUUUGUAUAACAACAAUAAGGAUAAUAUUGGCAAUGGCAAUGGCAAGCCCAUUGACGUUGGUGAAUUGUCGAUUUCAACUUUGGUACGUGUUAUGCAGAACAUGCUGUGGGGUCAAGCAUUGGAAACAAGAGAGAAAGAGAUUACUAAUCUCGGGGCUAAUCUUGCAGAACUCAUGGUGCUACUGGGAACACCAAAUAUUUCGGAUAUUUUUCCAGUGCUUUCAUGGCUUGACAUGCAAGGUAUAGAGAGAAGAGCUAAGAAGAUUUCUCUAUGGUUUGAAAAUAUUAUCAAUUCUGGUGUUGAACAGUAUAGAAACAAGUUCUCUGUUGUUAAAGGUGAAGAAGCUGCAGCACGAAAAAAUAUUGAACGAUCAAGAAAUAAGGACUUCUUGCAGUUGCUGUUGGAGCUUCAGGAAAAUGAAGAUAGUGCUUCAUCUAUUAGCAUGAACCAACUAAAGGCCGUGCUCGUGGUAUGUUAAGCAACUAGACACAAAAAGUUGUAAAAGCACAGCGAUAUAUUUGCGCGAGGCCCCGAGUGAUGUUUUGCCUCGAGAACUCUCAAUUUUAUCUUACGGUAAAAAAUGUUUUUCAACUUUUUUUUUUAAUUAGAAUUUUAUUGCAAUUUAUUUAACAGGACAUAAUUGUGGCCGGAACCGACACCACAACUACGAUGGUGGAAUGGACAAUGGCAGAGUUGAUGCAACAUCCACAAGUAAUGAAGAAAGUUCAAGAAGAAUUCGCUCAAGCUGUGGGCAUGGACAGUUGUGUUGAAGAAUAUCACUUGCCUAAAUUAAAGUAUUUAGAUGCUGUGGUGAAAGAAACAUUUCGUUUGCAUCCUGCGUUGCCCUUAUUGGUACCUCGCACGGCAAGCAAGAAUAGCAACAUUGGUGGCUAUACCAUUCCCAACGACACUAAUCUUAUGUUGAAUGUUUGGGCUAUCCACAGGGACCCUCAACUUUGGGAUAAUCCCUUAGAAUUUCGACCUGAGAGGUUCUUGAAUGAUGGUAUCAUAAGCAAUUUCAAUUACUCGGGUAACAAUUUUCAGUACUUGCCAUUUGGUUCUGGUAGAAGGAUGUGCGCUGGGAUUGCUCUAGCUGAGAGGAUGUUGAUGCUUGUUCUGGCUUCGUUGUUGCACUUGUUUGAGUGGAAAUUGCCCUCGGGCACAAAGCUAGACUUAUCUGAAAAGUAUGGGAUUGUCAUGCGGAAAAAAGAGCCUCUAAUUGCUAUUCCAACACCAAGGCUACCAAAUUCAGAUCUCUACCAGUAAGAUCAAAAUGGUUUUGAUAAUAUUAUUUCCCAUUGUAUUGGAUUUGAAGUUCAAUCAUAAUAAAAUAUUUUAAUAAAAUGUCCUCGGUUGCUAAUUUUUCAAUAGUAUAAUCUGCACCUGUCUUUUAUAGCAAUUUGGUCUAAUUUAUUUUUGAAUUAAAAUCCAUAAAUAUUUAUAUUUUUUUAAUUAUAUUAGGAAUUAUGUGGGGUGUAUGGUCUGAUCUUCGAGCUAUGCCUUGAAAACAAAUUAUGCAUAGUCGUGCACACGCUUUCCCUAAUUAAGUUUGUGGUUCGUGCUCAAGGCACAGCAUUCACCCCCCGCGACCCAACAAUCGCUACAUUGUUCCCCACCUAAAGUGCCAACAUAUUGCAUAAGUAACGCAAAAUAUGGUCCCCAAUGGAAAACGUUGCGCAAAUUAUUUCUGGGCAAGAUGAUAAGUAACGCAAGCCUUGAUGCUUGUUAUGGUCUAAGAAAACAAGAGGUUAAAAAUACUAUCAGAGACAUAUAUAAAACAACAACAGAAAAAAUUGGCAUUAUCAUCGAUAAUGGUGAGUUGUGGAUUUCAACUUUGGUAUGUUUAAUUCAGAACCCGCAGUGGGGUGGCGCUAGCACGCCUGCGUUAGGAGACGAGGGGACCAAUCUUGGGGCCGAGCUAAAAUAUAGGCUUGUAGAGCUCAUGCUGCUAAUGGUAAUGGGAACACCUACUAUUUCGGAUACUUUUCCGAUGCUGGUUUAAUUCAUGGUUUAGAAAGGAGAACAAAGAAGAUUUUUCGAUGCUUUGAAAAUAUUAUAAUUUUUAUAAAAUCUCUUAUUGAUAACUAAACAACUAAAAUUUCUGUAAAGUUUUUGUGGACUUUUGAUCUCCUAUGGUGCCAAUAUUUUCGACUAAUUUUUUCCUUCAAUUAAUGAUGUUGGUUGAGAAAGACUAUUUUUCUUGCAAUAAUAUAGUAUUCGUGGUCCUAUUAGGGUUCCGAAUGGAGAAAGUUGCACUAAGUUUUUUGAGUACCAAAUGAUGAGUAAUGUACGUAAGCCUUGAUGGUAGUUAUGGUCUAAGAAAACAAGAGGUUAAAAAUACUAUCUGGGAUUUGUACAACAAUAACAAAAUUGGCAAGCCCAUUGACAUUGGUGAAUUGUCAGUUUCAACCUUGGUAAGUGUUUUCAGAACAUGCUGUGGGGUGAAGCGCUUGGAAUAAGAAAGAAACGGAUGACGAAUAUUGGGGCUGAGCUUAGAUUUAAACUUGCAGAACUCAUGGUGCUGUCAGGAACACCGAAUAUUUCGGAUAUCUUUCCAGUGCUUUCAUGGUUUGAUAUACAAGGUUUUGAGAGAAUAGCAAAGAAGAUUUCUCUAUGGUUUUAAAAUAUUAUCAAUUCUACUGUUGAACGCUAUAGAAACAAGGUCUCAGUUGUUAAAAGUGAAGAAGAAGACGCAGCAGCAGCAGCAGCAGGGAACAACAUUGAAGGAAGGAAUAAGGACCUGGUGCAGUUACUCUUGGAGCUUCAAGGUAAAGAAGAAAAUGCUUCAUCAAUUAACAUGACGCAAUUUAAGAGCUUGCUCGUGGUAUGUUUGCGCAACUAGCCACAGACAGUUACAGAAACUGAGUUUGGCAGAUUACGACCGUUUCUGGUGAUUAUAUAACUAUUUGUGGCUGUUUUUUGUUUUUUUUUUCUUUUAAUUGGAAUUUUAUUGUAAAUUUCUUAACAGGAUAUAAUUUAGGGUGGAACCAACACCACAACUAUAAUGGUGGAAUGGACAAUGGCAUAAUUGAUACAGCAUCCACAAGUAAUGGAGAAUGUAAAGGUAGAACUAAGUCGGGCCGUGGCCAUUGACAGCCAUGUUGAAGAAUUUCACCUACCUAAGUUAAAAUAUUUAGAUGUUGUGGUGAAAGAAACAUUCCGCACGAUAAUAUAAUAUAUGAAUCAUAUAUCCUCUAUUGGUUUUUUGCUCCUUUUUUUUUCAAUAGCUUAAUCUAUCAUUAAAAUCUUCUGAAAUUCUAAAUUAAUAUACAUUCAACCUAGAGUUCAACCCAAAGUUUUAUUGAGCAUUAAAAAAAAAAAUUCUACGACUAAAAAUUUUACAGAGUAUAAAUUAAAAAUUAUGCGCCUACUAACAGACAAAAAACAAUUGAUACACAUUCACCAAUCAAAGGCAAACAAGAGAUUAUUAACAAUAACUUAAUAAUAAAAUUAUAAGGAAUCAAAUAGAAAUGGUACCUAGAAACACAUCACGCCAUUUAAUCAAUCACUUACCCAUAAAAUCCAAACUUAUAAACUAUUAAGGGGGGGAAAUGGAUACCUUUGGGUUUCAUUAAAUCAAAAUUACAACACCAUUAAAUACUCAAAAAUGAAAAAAAAAAAAUCAUACCCAAUAAAAGAGAAAAAAAUAACCCACAAAAAAAAUCAUCAAGAAAAUAAAUUUGAGACUAAGAGAAGAUAUUAAUUAACGCCUGGGUUGCAUUGGAACCACGGCUUUGGCUUCCAUUUUUCAAUUCUUGGUCACAAGUGAUUUCUUGUUUGUUUGCAAUGAUGACGGUUGAUUAAUGAAGCUCUAUUAACAAUGAAUGAAUCAAAAAACUUGAGCCUUGAAAAGACUAACGGUCAUAUUUUUCAACUCCGAAUUAGUGGCGUUUGAUGAGUCCUUGCCAAAACAAUCACUCGGCAGAUAACGAUCAUUUUUCAACCAGCAAAACUCAUUCAUUGUUUUUCACCUUAGUGAAGAUUUAAAAAUUGUUUCAAAAUAGGAUUCUUAAAAAAAUAAUAAUAAAAUGAUAUUUAACUUAAUUCUAACUUAGGAAAACAAAAUAUCUACACUCCCAAAGUUUGGAGAAAUGGUCAUUAAUAUCCCCAACUUUCCAAAAAGAGACACCAAGAACCCUUUUAACCAUAAUACUAUUUACUUCUAUUAUCCCAAAAAACAAUUGACUCUAAUAUUUUAUAAUAAAUAAAAAUAUAACAUUAAAAUAAAUGUAAUAGUAUAUACAUUUUAAAAUAGUUUCAAUAUUUAAAAAGCAUUUUAAUAUUUUUAAAUUCUAUUUUAUAUAUAUUGAUUAUUUUAAAGUAAAUUUUAUAAUAAAUAGAAUCAUAAUAUUAAAAUAAAUGCAUUAAAAUUUAAAUUAUUUUGAAUAUUAUGUAAAAUAAUAAUUUUAACAUUAUUAGUAUAUGAGAAUUUUUUUAAUUGUAGAAUGCAUUUAAUGCAAAUAUUUAUUUAAAAUCUCUACAAUAAAUAAAAAUAUACUAUUAAAACAAAACUCUACAAUACAUACAUACAUACAUAUACAUUGGCCUGGUAUUUUUAUUUUUCAUUUUUAAACUUAUUAAAUCCUCUAACUAUCAUUUGAUUUUUUUUUUUUUUCAAUGAUCAAGAGGUCAUUGCCGGAUAAAUGAUUAAAAUCAACUAGUUCUACAAGAAUAUCUCUUUUUAAAGGAAGAUGAUUCUCUCUCUCGAAAUUUUUUUAUCUCGUGCUACAAACUAAAAACUUAUGCCACUUCAUUAACCACAAAGAUCUUUGAGGAAAUGAUGCUUCCCUCCCCCCCCCCCCCCCCCCCCCUCCCACAAAAAAAAAAAAGAGUCCUUCCAUAUUGUGUGAAGGCUAAUAUAUCGAUGAAUCUAGAUUUCUUUAAAUUUUUUGUUUUACUCAAUUCGAGAUAAUAAUUCAAUCCAUGCAAAUAUCUAUCAUUGUAUGAGCUGACCAGUUAAUAGGUUGAUUGAAUAUAUGUGGUAAAGAUUCCACGUAUCUCAUGACAGAAUGCUGACCACUGGAACCCUAUCUACUUUUACGCGAUUAAUUCACGAGCUUAGGCACAACAAUUGCAAUACAAAUUAUCCCCUCAUCGUAUAUUUCGUUAAAAUUCAUUCUGAAGCAGUAAAACUAAACAAUCGAAUAUGGCUUUGCGGGUCGAUGAUGCCAGCAGCAAUGAGAGUGCAAUUAUCACUUGUUUAGUUUCUGUGCUUGCCGUGGCUUAUUUCGCAUGGAAUGUGAAAAAAUCAAGGAAAGCAAAUGCUAAACUGCCACCAGGAACUCGCGGCUUGCCUGUAGUCGGAUACCUCCCAUUUCUCGGGACUACUGACUUGCACAAGAAAUUCACGGAAUUUAUUUUACUAUUAUAUUUAUAUUCAAAAUAAUUUUAAUUAGCUUUUAAAAUGAAUGAUUUUAGGAAAUUAUAAAUAAAGGUAACUAAGAAUUCUCUUAAUGCAAUAUAUUAUUAAUUAGUUUAAAAAUACAAAUUUAUUAAUUAGAGAAAUUAUUAGUGAAUUUAAAUUAAUGAUCUUAAUGAUUUGUUUGUACGAUUGCCCCCAAUCAAAGGUAAUUUUCCUAAAAAUUAUUAGGAAAUUAGAGAAAUUUAAUUUUUUUUAGUGGGUUCAAUUGCCCACACACCCCGACUGAAGCAUUUUUUACAAUAUGUACUCCGUUUGUCGGCAGGAAAAUAAAGGUCUUGACACAUGAUCACUUCAUUCCUUUAUUUACUUUGCGAACGCAGAUUUUGAGGUAUUAAAACAAAUAAUAAUUGAAUAUGACUUUGUGGGUCGACGACGCCAGCAACGAGGAGACCGCCAAUUAUCACAUUUUAAGUUUGCUGUAAUUGCCAUUGUUUUAUAUUAGUAGAAUAUUAGUGAUAAGAUAAUUGUAGAGUUUUCAUUUUUUUAAUAUUAAAAUCAAGUCAAUUUAUUAUAAUAAAUUUAGUUGAAUUUAAUCGUAUUACCACAUAAAUUGAAUAAUAAUAGAAUUCUCCACAAAUAUUUCAAUAUUUUAAUCUCAAGCAUUGGAGUGGCAUUUAUUUGUUAUGCGGUCGAUUUUAGAAUUUUUAAAAUUAUUCGUUACUGAAUUGCACCAUAUGCUGCAUCACCUGGAACUUACUAAACGGAACGUAGCGUUGGCACCGUUACCAACAUUCACUGUUACGACUUUGUGACAUUAGAAUUAAAAUCUUUUCCACAUCUAAUUUGUUUACUUCCAAAUUAAUAUUUAACAAAAUAUUUUUUCACAUUAUCAAUGGACAAAACUCCAACGAAAAUAACUAUACAAGAAAAAUGUAUGCUAGAAUUGUAUGCCAUAUCAUCUGUAAUUUUGUCAGGAUCGAUCAUUCUAAUUUUGAAGCAGAACUUUUUAUCAAUGGACAAACACCUCACACAGCUUGUCAGAGGCAUUAUUAUGAUGUAAGAUUGUAAUGGUAUAUCUUGAAUUAUUGGUAGAAUAGUGAAUAACUAUUUGGAGCAAUAAAAACAAAUAAGACAGAUGAGAAAAUGGCUAAAAUUAUAUAAGUGACCCAAAUUGUUUUGCUAUUUCCAAGAAAUCCCCAAUCUGAAUGGACCAGCCAGAGGGAGGCAAGUUAGAAAUAUGUUUCCUUCAUAGACAAUAACAACGAUGAGUCGAUGACAUCAAGCCACGUCGGUAUCAAUAUUGAAAUAAAGGUGCAAUUAUUCAGCCAAUGAGCCUUACACAUCGAGAUAAAAGUCAAGAAAAUGAAAAUUUAUCCCAAUUAAAACACUUUCUGGCUGCAUUUAGCUGUUUCCAUUUGAAGUUAAAAACAACGUUUCUUUCGUUUUGUGGGCGACUCGACUGAGCUAGCUGGCUUCUAGUGCUGGUAAGUGAAAAUAGAAGGCUAAUGAUUUCACUUUCACAUUUUUCUUUUCCUUUUUUGGGAAUCAAAGUCAAGGUCAAGAAGAAUAAAUGGAGAAUUCGGAAAAAUGGGUGCAUAAUGUGAUCCAUUCAUGAAGAAGAGUACGUGAGCGUCGGGCAACAGUAUUUUUACCUAUUAAGCUCCAGUUUAAUUUUGUUGUAGGAAAACAAAAUUUUGUUUUCAAUUCACAUCGUGUGCAUCCAAUUCAACAAACACUUUGUAAUAAUUAAUGUUGAGUUGUAUCCUACGUUAAGGAGAGUUACUUAAAUUUAUAAAUAGGAUAAAUUACUCUAUUUAAUAAGUUAAUGUUUUCUUCUUUCUUCUAGAUUACAUAUAAAUUUAGUCAGAUAACCUAACACAUAUUUUAAUACUCGAUCAGAAGCCCUAAGCAGUGGUGGAUCCAAUAAAUUGAUUUAUAUGGUGUAAUAAUGUAAUAAAAAAAUGGUGAUUCAUAAAAUUGACCCAAUAUCAAAAUUUGUUUGCAAGAUUACUCCCCACUCAAAGGUAAUUUUCCUAAAAAUUAAUAGGAAAUUUAAUUGUCAUUGGGAUCAAAUUGCCCCCACACUCUUGAAUGUAGAUCCUCCCCUGGCCUUGAGUCAAGUAUUUUUUCCAAUAUAUACUCCGAAUGUCGGCAGGAACAACCUUCCACUUUAAUUUAAAAUUUUUACUUGAAAAAUUAAUUAAUGUUAAUAAAGUUCGUAAGAGAAAUGAGUUUAAUAAAAGAAAAUUAUAGGAGAAAUUCUAAUGUUUGUCUUUUAAUAAAUUAGUUUAUAAGUUUAAAAAGUUAACAUAUAUCAAAAUAUUAUUGAUUGGUGGUGGUUUCACGUCAGAUUAAGACGUGACACUUUACUUGUGAGACUGAGACAAUCAGCUUAGACUACUUCAAUAGGUUUGAAGCGUAGGCGGCACCCAUUCAAUUUGCACCAAUGUCUAUCAUUCUUUGUCCUAAUUACUACGAUAAUUAAUAACAUGCAAUUGAAAUUAUUAAUGUUAGUACUUGCCUAUAAAUAAAGGUAUUGUACUUGAAUCUUCAUAGAUGAUCACUUCAUUCCUUUAUUUACUUUGGUAACACAGAUUUUGAGAGACAUUAAAACUAAAGAAUAAUUGAAUAUGGCUUUGUGGGUUGAUGAUGCCAGCUCCAACGUGAGUGCAAUUAUCGCAUGUUUAAUUGCUCUAUUAGCCGUGGUCUAUUUCGUGUGGACAAGGAAAACAAAUGCUAAACUUCCACCAGGACCUCGCGGCUUGCCUGUAAUCGGAUACCUCCCUUUUCUCGGAACUACUGACUUGCACAAGACAUUCACGGAAUUAGCUGGUGUGUAUGGUCCAAUCUUCAAGCUCUGGCUUGGCAACAAAUUGUGUGUAGUGGUGAGCUCGCCUUCCCUAGUUAAACAAGUGGUUCGUGAUCAAGAUAUAACAUUCGCUAACCGCGACCCACCGAUCGCUGGACUCGUGGCCUCCUUUGGUGGCAAUGAUAUUUUAUUUUCCAAUUAUGGUCCUGAAUGGAGAAAGUUGCGCAAAUUAUUUGUGGGCAAGUUGAUGAGUAACGCAAGUCUUGACGCUUGUUAUGCUCUAAGAAAACAAGAGGUUAAAAAUAUAAUCAGGGAUUUGUAUAAUAACAACAAAACUGGCAAGCCCAUAGAUGUUGGUGAGUUGUCGAUCUCAACUUUUGUAUGUGUUAUACAGAACAUGCUAUGGGGUGAAGCUCUUGAAUUAAGAGAGAAAGGGAUCAGUAACCUUGGGGCUGAGCUAAAGUUUAAGCUAGCAGAACUCGUGGUGCUAAUGGGAACACCGAAUAUUUCGGAUAUCAUUCCGUGCUUUCAUGGCUUGAUAUACAAGGUAUAGAGAAGAGAACAAAGAAGAUUUCUCUAUGGUUUGCACAAGCACAGCUGUAUUAGUUAUGUGUUUUAACUUUAUUUUAAUUAGACUUUUAUUGUUAUCGUUUUAACAGGACAUAAUUUCUGGUGGAAACGACACAACAACUACAACGGUGGAAUGGACAAUGACAGAGUUGAUGCACAAUCCACGAGUAAUGAAGAAGGUUCAAGAGGAAUUAGCUCAAGUUGUGGCCAUGGACAGCUGUGUUGAAGAAUUUCACUUGCCCAAAUUAAAGUACUUAGAUGCUGUGGUGAAAGAAACAUUUCGGCUGCAUUCUGUGCCCUAUUUAGUACCACGUAGGGCAAGCCAAAGUAGCAGCAUUGGUGGCUAUACUGUUCCUAAAGAUACAACGAUUAUAUUGAAUGUUUGGGCAAUCCACAGAGAUCCUCAAAUUUGGGAUAACCCCUUAGAAUUUGGACCAGAGAAGUUUUUGAAUGAUGGUAUUGCGAGCAAAUUUGAUUACUCGGGUAACAAUUUUCAGUACUUGCCGUUUGGUUCUGGCAGAAGGAUGUGUGCAGGGAUUGCUCUGGCAGAGAGGAUGCUGAUGUUUGUUCUGGCUUCACUGCUGCACUCAUUUGAUUGGAAAUUACAGGCAGGCACAAAGCUAGACUUAUCUGAAAAGUUUGGGAUUUUGAUUAAGAAAAAGGAGCCUUAGGUUGCUAUUCCAACACCAAGACUACCCAAUUCAGAGCUCUACCAAUAAGACAAAUGGUUGUGAUGGUAUUGUAUCCCCACUGUAUUGGAAGAUUUGUAUGUUAUUUCAAGUUCAAUCAUAAUAAGCAUAUUAAUAAAUGUCUUCAGGUUGUUAUUUUUUCGCUGGCCCAAUCGAUCAUCAUACUCGUGUUUUCGAGCUAUUUAUUUAUUUUUGAAUUGCAAUCUGAAAUAUAUGUACUUUAAAUUUCUUACAAGAUUUUAAAUUUAUAUACAUCUACAACCCAAAAUCUCCCAAAAAAUCUAAAAUUCAAAAAUUUACAAAGCAUAGACCAAAAUUUUUAUACCAACUAAUUUUUUGAUCAAUUCUACACUUUCUAAAAGGAGAGACGUUUACUCCAAUAUUUGGACUACAAUUAUAUCUAAGCUUAGGUGCCAAAUAAUAAAUUUAUAAGUAAAUUGGAUUUUGAACAUGGAGAGAGUUCUAAAACAACUUGCUUAAAGCAAAUGAACUGUCCAAUUAAUUCAAUUUUUCAAAAACAAAUCUUUAAACAUUCAACGGACAUUUUCACAAGCUUCUGGAAGGCACAAUCUAAAACCCAACAAAGAAUUCAAAAAAUCUUUGAACUUCUCACAAGCUUCUUGGAGAGAUGCGACGGCGCUGCUUUGGUAACUCAGAAGGCUCAGAGAUCUUUGAGGAAAUCAUGGUUCGCUUUCUUUUUUAUCUUUCCUCCUAAUCCUUGCAAAUUGUGUGAAGGCCAAUAAAUCCAUGAAUCUAAAUCUCUGUAAAUUUCUUUUUUCCCAAAUUUAGAUAAUUAUUUACUCCAUGCACAAUAUAUAUCACUGUAUCAGCUGUUCUUUUUUUUUUUUUUUGGAUGGGGCGGCAGUUUAGAAGAGCUGGAGGGUGUUCUUGACAGAGCUCAAAUUUUUUGUGUGCUCGUUGGGUGGAUAUAUCAAUCAAAGAUAUCCCAUACAGUGACAUCUGUCGUGAUCAAAUUAUUAGUUGAUCAAUGAUUUCGACAUCUGUUUACUGUAAUAAAAUUUGUCACUAUACAUUGAUGAAAGUGUUUGAUGUGAUUUUCUAACUGCUACCGACGGGAAACAGUUAAUAGGUUGAUUGAAUUUGUGGGAUAUAGAUUCCACAUAUCGCAUGACAGGAUCCUGACCACUCGAAUCUUAUCUACAUUUACACGAUUAAUACACCAGCUUAGCUGUGACAGUGCCAUUACAAAUUAUCCUCUCAUCAUUUGUCUUGUUAAAAUUCAUUCUGAAACACUGAGACUAAAUAUACGAAAAUGGCUUUGUGGGUCGAUGAUGCGAGCCGGAAAGAGACUGUAAUUAUCACUUGUUUAGUUGCUGUACUCGCCGUGGUCUAUUUCGCAUGGAAUGUGAACAAAUCAAGUAAAGCAAAUGCUAAACUGCCGCCGGGACCUCGUGGUUUGCCUGUAGUCGGAUACCUCGCAUUUCUCGGAACUACUGACUUGCACAAGACAUUCACCGAUUUAUCUGGAGUCUAUGGUCCGAUCUUCAAGCUCUGCUUUGGAAACAAACUGUGUGUAGUGGUGAGCUCGCCUUCCCUAGUUAAACAAGUGGUCCAUGAUCAAGAUCUAACAUUCUCUAACCGCAGCCCAUCGAUCGCUGGACUUGUUACCACCUAUGGUGGCAAUGAUAUUGCACUUUCCAAUUAUGGUCCAGAAUGGAGAAAGUUGCG